UUUACACUGGCAACAUGGGUCAAUAUUGCUUUUCUUUGUAAGCCAAUUUACACUUUGAAAUGAAGUGAGCAUUCAGUAGGAAAAGAAGGUGAAAGUAUUCUGCUUUGUAGCAUCUGCCAGGACUAAUUUUUAAAUUUAUUUUGGCUGCUAUAACAAAGCUAUAGACUGGGUGGCUUAUAAACAACAUAAUUUUAUUUCUCACAGUUCUGGAGGCUUGGAAGUCCAAGAUCAAGAGGUGAACAGAUUUGGUGUCUGGUGGGGGCCUGCUUCCUGAUUCAUAGAUGGCACCAUCCAGCUGUGCCCUCACAUGGUGGAAGGAAUGAGGCUGCUCUCUGGAAUCUCUUUUAUAAGGUCUGUACUUCAAGAUCCAAGCCUAAGAAGCCCCUAUUUGGAACAAAGCAUUCUUGUGGGAAAGGAUAUACAAGAGGCAGUAUGUAAACGCAAAACCAUCUUUAAAUAUUCUCCUCAGAACUGGGGGUGCUAGAUGGCAGAAGUAGAGAUCCCUGAAUCACCCUCUGUAGAAGAGUGGCACAGGAGAGUCACUUGACCCAAUUGGGACCGACACUAGACUGUGAGAUAACAAACCUGCUGGAAGGCCUUCACCAGAUGCCGGCACCUUGAUCUUUGAUUUCUCAUCCUCCAGAACUGUGAGAAAUACAUUUCUCUUCUUCAUAAAUCAUCCAGUCUCAGAUAUUGUGUUAUAGUAGCACAAAAUGGACUAAGACAAACUUUAAUGUUAAGCAUCCAACAAUGCACUCUGGCAAAUUGUGGGUUACUUCUACCAAAAAGUGUGAAAUCCUGGCCUGUUCCUCACUGCAGCCUGAACUUAGCUUAUAAGCAGAUAUUUGCAAUCUAUUUAAACUUGCCUCAGCCCCAGGCCUUAGGGGUUCAACCUUUCCCCAGAGCAAAUGUUUUUUUUUUAUGAAAUAACAAGAACUCAGUGUUAUAAUCAACAGAUGGUAAUAGCUGAGCAAGUUCUAAUCUCAUAACACUGAAGAAAUUGUUCCCAGUCUCAUUCUGUCAUUCCCAUUUCAUCAUUUUCUUCUGAUUUGUUGAGUUAUUGCUUAAUCUCAAUAAUUUACUUAUUUUUCAGAAGGAUUUGUUAACAAUACCUUCUCCCCCCUCGGAGCACUCAAUUUAUAU
rnacentral:lncRNA from 10 species